rnacentral:rRNA from 1 species
GAGUGAGAAUAUAAUGGAAUGGGCCUUAUCUCAUCAGAUCUCAGAAGCUAAGCAAGGCUGGGACUGGUUAGUAUUUGGAUGGGAGAUCGCUGGGAAUAUCAGCUGUUACAGUGA